rnacentral:rRNA from 1 species
UACAGAGGUCCCGAGCGUUGUUCGGAUUCACUGGGCGUAAAGGGUGCGUAGGUGGCGAGGUAAGUCGGAUGUGAAAGCUCGGAGCUCAACUCCGAAAUGGCAUUGGAAACUACCUUGCUCGAGGGUUGGAGGGGGGACUGGAAUACUUGGUGUAGCAGUGAAAUGCGUAGAUAUCAAGUGGAACACCUGCGGCGAAGGCGGGUUGCUGGGCUGACACUGACGCUGAUUGUGCGAAAGCUAGGGGAGCGAACGGG